CGUGUAGUCGGGCUGUACUCCUUCAGGAAUCUGAGGAGAAAAUUGCUGCCCCACAACUCAAGCACUUAGCCCAGGGCAGACCUGUCAAGACCCUGCAGUUGUCUCUUGGGGGUCUGAUUGAACCAGCAAGCAAAGACAUCAGGAUGCAUUACAGCUUGGAUUUCAAAAAGUUCUGGAGUCAUUCCACAGGCCCUGCUGAAAAAUACCCCAAAGCGGGGCAUUUUGGGUACACAAGCAUGAGGGAAGGGGCACACCUUGCACUUAUGGAGCACAACUAGAUUGUGGGACAAAAACGAGGGACACUGAAAGGAGAUGUGUAGUACCAGCCAAUCUUCUGCAAGAGGACCAAACAGUUGGUGGUUAAGGUCUACGAGCCACCUACGCCACUUCUGGAAGACAGGACAAGACCAUUCGUCACAAAGAGUUUCAGCUUUCACAGCCCACCAUUCCCAGUGUACCGAAGCUGGAUAAAGGACCAUAAAAUAAAUAUGGAUAUUUUUGAUCA